UACAGAGGUCUCAAGCGUUGUUCGGAUUCAUUGGGCGUAAAGGGUGCGUAGGUGGCGGGGUAAGUCAGGUGUGAAAUCUCGGAGCUCAACUCCGAAACUGCACUUGAUACUGCCUUGCUCGAGUACUGGAGAGGAGAUUGGAAUUUACGGUGUAGCAGUGAAAUGCGUAGAUAUCGUAAGGAAGACCAGUGGCGAAGGCGAAUCUCUGGACAGUUCCUGACGCUGAGGCACGAAGGUCAGGGGAGCAAACGGG
rnacentral:rRNA from 1 species